CUGUGCGCUCUGUGCGGCGGGGUUUCUGUGGGCGGAGUCAGUGUGACCGUUACUGGCAGGGAGCACGCGGACUGUGGUGUCAGAUAGCAGGUAACGGGUUACAGCACGUGGCGACUGGCAUGGAAUGAUAAGUGCUGCCGUGCUGUAUGUAGCGUUCGAAUGCUGCAUACCGCAAAGGGGAGAUUGAGUGAGGAGGGCAGCGUAUCAAUGCUACAUACAGUAAGGAGAACCUGUCUGUGUGGGGUGCAGCGUAUCAAUGCUCCAUACAGUAAGGAGAGACUGUGUGGUGCAGCGUUUCAAUGCUACAUACAGUAAGAAUAGACUCUUAGUGGAGAAUGCAGCGUAUCAAUGCUACAUACAGUAAAGAGAGACCAUCUUAGUGUGGUGUGCAGCGUGUUAAUGCUACAUACAGUAAGGAGAGACCGUCUUAGUGUGGGGUGCAGCGUAUCAAUGCUACAUACAGUAAAGAGAGACCAUCUUAGUGUGGGGUGCAGCGUGUCAAUGCUACAUACAGUAAGGAGAGACUGUCUUAGUGUGGGGUGCAGCGUGUCAAUGCUACAUACAGUAAGGAGAGACCGUCUUAGUAUGGGGUGCAGCAUAUCAAUGCUACAUACAGUAAGGAGAGACCGUCUUAGUGUGGGGUGCAGCGUAUCAAUGCUACAUACAGUAAAGAGAGACCGUCUGAGUGUUGGGUUCAGCAUAUCAAUGCUACAUACAGUAAGGAUAGACCGUCUUAGUGUUGGGGUGCAGCAUGUCAAUGCUACAUACAUUAAGGAGAGACCGUGUUAGUGUGGGGUGCAGCGUUCAAUGCUACAUACGGUAAGGAGACUCUCUUAGUGAGGAGUGCAGGGUUUCAAUGCUACAUACAGUAAGGAGAGACCGUCGUAGUGUGGGGUGCAGCGUAUCAAUGCUACAUACAGUAAAGAGAGACCAUCUUAAUGUGGGGUGCAGGGUUUCAGUGCUACAUACAGUAAGAAGAGACUGCCUUAGUGAGAAGUGCAGCUUAUCAAUGCUACGUACAGUAAGGAAAGACUGUUGGUGAGGAGUGCAGCGUGUCUGUGCUACAUACAGUAAGGAGAGACUUUCUUAGUGAGGAGUGCAGGAUAUCAAUGCUACAUACAGUAAGGAGAGACUGAGGAAUGCAGCAUUCAAUGCUACAUACAGUAAGGAAAGACUAUUACUGAUGAGUGCAGCGUUUUAAUGCUAGAUACAGUAGGUGGAGUGCUCUAUGCUGCAGGGCGGAGACUAAGUGAGGAGCACUGCGCAUCAAUGAUAUAUACAGUAGGCAAGGGGAAAGCUGUCAGUCUUAGUGAUGAGUGCAGUGUAUCAAUGCUACAUACAUUUGCGGAGAGACUGUCUUCAUGAGAAAGGCAGCAUGUCAGUGCUAAAUACUGCAGAGCAGCACUUUUCAUGCCCUGGUUAUCAGUAUGGUGACAUUAUGUGGGUGUAGGAGAACAUUUGGCAUUGUGGCAAAUAUUCAUACCAGCAUAACAAUAUAUUCCAACUGAUAUAUUGGAUAACUUGCUGACUGCUAAUAAAGGGUUAAUAGGCAAAACUGUAUGGUUAGCAAAAUAAUUUCAUUUGUUUCCACCCAAGGCCAACAGAUAUUACUGCUCACCCUCCUGCAAGAUAAUGGCUUACAAAGGGUAUUAUAUUGUGAUAAAUGGUAGAUGGGGGGGUAACUUAAAAUUUUUUUUGUUUGCAUUUGAUAAUUGGUAUAUAUGCAAAUUUCCAAACACACUGUCUCUCAGAAUCCAUUUGUACUGCUUCUCCCUCUAUUGCAAUAAAGACGUGAUUCUAGUACGUAAUGAUUUCACUACUCCAGCCUCUGACUGGUUAAUUGGAAAAGGCUUUUUCAGAGUGUGUUGGCUAUUUGGCUAACAGCACUGAAAGGGUUAAAGCCUGCCCUGAACUAUUACAUGCUAAGCAAUUGUUGGAGGUCAAACCAUUGGAUUAAGACAUGGUUAGUCACUAAUGUGACUAUUGUUUUGGGUUGACAUUUGCCAGGUCCCACCUGAUGCCUUCUCCUGCUUCUGGCCUUCCUGAGUCCUACAAUCCACUUCCAGACAGGAACUCCUUGGUUGGCUGUGAAUGUGCUCAGCUGACACGAUCGUCAGUGAAUAAUCACCUGCACUGUCCCCCAGCUUCCCCUGUUUGAAAUCAUUGGAAGAAGGGUAGGUGCUCAGCAGCACCCAGG
rnacentral:lncRNA from 1 species